rfam:Gorilla gorilla gorilla genomic chromosome, chr15, whole genome shotgun sequence
GCUGGGUGUGGUGGCCCACGCCUGUAAUCCCAGCUAUUCAGGAGGCUGAGGCAGGAGAAUUGCUUGAACUCAGGAGGCAGAGGUGGAAGUGAGCCGAGAUUGCGCCACUGCACUUCAGCCUGGGCAACAGAGUGAGACUCUGUCUCAA